UACAGAGGUCCCAAGCGUUGUUCGGAUUCACUGGGCGUAAAGGGUGCGUAGGCGGUCGGGUAAGUCUGAUGUGAAAUCUCACAGCUUAACUGUGAAACUGUAUUGGAUACUAUCCGGCUAGAGGAAUGGAGGGGAGACUGGAAUACUUGGUGUAGCAGUGAAAUGCGUAGAUAUCAAGUGGAACACCAGUGGCGAAGGCGAGUCUCUGGACAUUUCCUGACGCUGAGGCACGAAAGCCAGGGGAGCAAACGGG
rnacentral:rRNA from 1 species